UCUCUCUCUCUCUCUCUCUCUCUCUCUCUCUCUCUCUCUCAUUUCACAACCUUUUUGUUUUCAUGCAUUUAACUUAGUACUUGAACUUGAUCACCUACUCUCUCUAUAAGCUUAGGAAAAAAAAUAUGACUUUACGGAUAAUGGAAACAGGUAUCUCUAUUUAUAAGCCUUUUGUAAGCUACAAAUCAUGGCUUCACUUUAGUUAGAUGUCAUCAUUAAUCCCUCUUGUUUGAAUGAUGAAAACUUCCAUAGUAGUGCUAGUUGUUAGCAAAAACUGCCAGUAGAUGGCUCACAAUUCGCACAAUGUAUAAAAAACUUAAUUAGAAGCAUAGGCUUCUUUCUGCAGAAUAUAUGUGUUGGCAGCAAUUGAAGGAAAAUCCCCUAAUGGAAGAUUUCUAUGAAAUCUUAUCAUAACCAAAACUUGAUGCAUAUGUAUUUGAUAUAUUUUUUUCUUGAGCUCUUUUCUGGCUGCAUCAACAAUUCUGGCCAUUCAUGUUGCUUGAUUCAUUCAACAUUUGAUAAACUUCAAUGCCUUUUAUGCUUUCCAAGUGGUGCUUGGAGGUGGUCAAGAUGCAUCAGCUGUUAUGACAACUGAUCAUCAUGCUGGUAAAUUUGAGGCAAAAUUCUAUGACAAGAUUCUUCAAGAAGAAAUUGGAGGUGUAAAAGGGCAUUUUGGACAGAUAAAUGCUUUGGCUUUCAACCCAUAUGGGAAAAGGUAUGGUUCUUUACGUUCUCUCAUUACAAAAUUGAGUUUACUAAACUUAUAUAAAAAAAUUUUGAGUUUCCUAAACUGGUAUUGAGCAAAGGCUUCUCCUUCGUUGUAUCUGGUAUUUGAUAGAUUAGCAUAUUGUAAUGGUGGGAUUGAUGGAGAGAGAGGAUUUUUGCAUUUUAGUCUGAAACUUUGUUGGUACAUAGUGAUUGCUGAUUGGAACUUUCAUUUCACUUCCAUAAUUUCAUUCACACUCUUGAGAAUGCUUUAUAAUAUUA